CGAGGCUGUCAAAGGCUUCGGCUCAAAGAGGGGUUCGCGUCCUAUCAGGUAGUUGGUGGGGUAAUGGCCUACCAAGCCAAUGACGGGUAGCUGGUCUUAGAGGAUGAUCAGCCACAGUGGGACUGAGACACGGCCCGCACCCCUACGGGGGGCAGCAGUGGGGAAUCGUGGGCAAUGGGCGCAAGCCUGACCCCGCAAUGCCGCGUGAGGGAAGAAGCCCUUCGGGGUGUAAACCUCUGUCAGAUGGGAAGAUGGGACUAGAAGCUAAUACCUCCUAGUCUUGACGGUACCAUCAGAGGAAGGGACGGCUAACUACGUGCCAGCAGCCGCGGUAAUACGUAGGUCCCGAGCGUUGCGCGAUGUUACUGGGCGUAAAGCGUCCGUAGCUGGUUUCGUAAGCGGAUUGUCAAAGCCCGAAGCUCAACUUCGGCAAGGCAUUCCGAACUGCGUUACUUGAGUCCUGUUCAGGUAGGCGGAAUUCCCGGUGUAGCGGUGAAAUGCGUAGAUAUCGGGAGGAACACCAGUGGCGAAGGCGGCCUACUGGGACGGUACUGACGGUCAUGGACGAAAGCUGGGGGAGCAACCGGAUUAGAUACCCGGGUAGUCCCAGCCGUAAACGAUGGAUGUUAGGUGUAGUGAUAACUUCGCUGCACCCCAGCUAACGCGUUAAACAUCCCGCCUGGGGAGUACGGGCGCAAGCCUGAAACUCAAAGGAAUUGGCGGGGGCCCGCACAACCGGUGGAGCGUCUGGUUUAAUUCGAUGCUAACCGAAAAACCUUACCAGGGUUUGAAAUGGUAGGAAAGGCUGUCGAAAGAUAGCCGUGUUUCCCUUUUGGGAGAAAUCCUACCACAGGUGGUGCAUGGCCGUCGUCAGCUCGUGUUGUGAGAUGUUGGGUUAAGUCCCGCAACGAGCGCAACCCUUGUCCUUAUUUGCUUCCUCGUAUGAGGUGCUCUAUAAGGAGACUGCCGGCGACAAGCCGGAGGAAGGAGGGGACGACGUCAGGUCAGUAUGCCCUUUAUGCCCUGGGCUACACAGGCGC
rnacentral:rRNA from 1 species